rnacentral:rRNA from 1 species
GAUUUCUGGUAUGAUGUACCUGUCCCGCCACGGUUAACGUGUGUGAGUGACGGAGUAUGUCUGCCAUCCUUCUAGAGAAUGCAAGCUGACCUUUACUGGUUUGGUUUGUAUCAUCUAGAUCUUUUACUUUGAAAAAAUUAGAGUGUUUCAAGCAGGCGUUUUGCUAUGAAUACAUUAGCAUGGAAUAAUGAGUUAGGACUUCGGUUCUAUUUUGUUGGUUUCUAGGACUGAAGUAAUGAUUGAUAGGGAUAGUUGGGGGUGCUAGUAUUCAGCGGCCAGAGGUGAAAUUCUUGGAUUCGCUGAAGACUAACUUAUGCGAAAGCAUU